rnacentral:rRNA from 1 species
GACGAACGCUGGCGGCGUGCUUAACACAUGCAAGUCGAGCGGUAAGGCCCUUUCGGGGGUACACGAGCGGCGAACGGGUGAGUAGCACGUGGGUGACCUGCCUUUAGCUCUGGGAUAAGCCUGGGAAACUGGGUCUAAUACCGGAUACGACUCCGCGGUGCAUGCUGUGGGGUGGAAAGCCUUGUGCGGCUGGAGAUGGGCCCGCGGCCUAUCAGCUUGUUGGUGGGGUGAUGGCCACCAAGGCGACGACGGUAGCCGGCCUGAGAGGGCGACCGGCCACACUGGGACUGAGACACGGCCCAGACUCCUACGGGAGGCAGCAGUGGGGAAUCUUGCGCAAUGGGCGAAAGCCUGACGCAGCGACGCCGCGUGAGGGAUGACGGCCUCGGUUGUAAC